GAUCUCUGAAGUCCUGCCAUUAGUUUGGCUGCUGAUCAGUUGGAAAAGACAACUAGCCCUGCCCUGCCGGUUGUAGUUGGAAUAUUCUUCAGCGGUAUAUGAAGAAAUAGCUUCCAUGACAAUUCGUACACAAAGCUCUGUGUGAGGGGGCCUUUGUUAAUUCAGACUGUGUGCUCCUCCCCCUCCUCCUGAAUAGAAAAUCCAACUGCUCAUGCUAAUUAGAGCUAUCACUUUCUCAUCUGCAAUACAAUUUAAAUCUUUUAAGCCUUCAAACUUAUUAUAACAAGUAACUCUGUUUUCAGCUGCUGAUACCAUCUGGCUUGGCUCUCGCUGUGUCUUAUCGUGGACCUGGUUUGGAUGACUGCACCCUCUUCGGACUUUGGAUUGAAUUUGACCUGGCUUCUGUCUACGCCCUCUGACUGACGACUACUCCCGGCUUCUGACUACUGGUUUGCCUUUCGGAAUUUGCUGCUGCCUCCUGACCUGACCUUGGAUUCUUCUGACGACGGCUAUUCAUCAUCCCUUUGAAGCUCUCGGCUUUAUCUGCACCGUGGAAGCAGUUUUACUGCUCUUCUAGUUUGUUUGUUUUCAAGCCAGUUUGCUGUUUUUCUUUUGGGAACUGUCCUUUUAAAUCCGCAGAGCCGGCUGUCUGUUUUCAGAAACGGUUUGAAGCCAAGAGAGGCUUUUGCACUUUCAGUUAUACUCUGCAGCUUCUGGAAGGUUUCUAGCCUUCGUUUAUUUUGCAUAUUUUCUAGCAGUCAACUCUAUUUGUUCUCCAAAGCUGAAUUGAAGCGUCUUUUAGUUUUUAUUGAAUGCCAGCAUGGGAAAAUAGCGUGGCUUGUUUUUGAGUUAUUUUUGUCCAAACUAUUCUUGAAACACUGAUAAGUGAAGUGUUUCAAGGAUACUUCCUGUGUUUAUGUUAUUUUUGGCUUAUCUUCAGAAUAAACUCUGUUUUGUUUGUUAA